AUGGUUAUAAAAUUAUUUAAAGAAUAGAAUAGUUAUAUUAGUCAUUGCUUUAUUACACAAUUAUAUCUGAAAAAAAUCUAAACCAAGAAAAUGCCUUUUUACAGUGAAUAUUUUUUAUUUACUCAGUGUUGGGCAAGUCAAACAAGGGUACAUCUGGAUUGGUCAAGAAAGAAAUGCCACUAACAAGCAAAAGCAUCACAUUAUUUUAUCAUUCUGGAUGGGAUUUUCUUUUUGUCUUCAUUUUUUUUUUUUCACCUACCCAUUUAAUUUGACUUUAAUUGUAUGUUUGGGUCUUUAGGAAUAAUAUUCAUCAUGAUGUUGAAGAACUUUCAGGCCACAAGACUUGGGAUCUGACAGCCAACUCAAUAUUUGAAAUCCUUAACUUCCCUUUUUGAAUGUCACUGUCGUAGGCAUCAUAUACAGGUUAAUCGUUUUCCAGGCCACAUCAGAUUGGCAUUGUUGUUCCUGAUCUCUUCUGUAUACCACCUAAAACUACUGAACUAAAGAAAUGUUUAGAAUCUUCAUUUUUUAGCAAAGCUGUUUAUCCACAAGAUACAGGCCUCAUUCCAUAUUGGUUUUAAAAAUGUAUUCUUGAUUUAAUUAUGGAAUGUGUUAGCUUCCAAACUCCCUGGGUCCAUACUUGCGAACAUAAGAUUUAUUUUUUUAAGUAAAAAAUGUUUGUCUCAAAAUGCACAUCAGCCAAUUCAAAUCGUUGACGUAGUUGCAUGUGAUAAAAUGCUCCAUGUUAUGUAAUGUGCAACAGCUAACGUAGUGUUGUCAAAUGCAACUAUGUCAGUGAUUUGAAUUGGCUGAUGCAUAUUUCGAGACAGAGAAAGUUUAAACUCAAACUUUUUCUAAUGUUCGCAAGUAUGGACCCCCUCUAUUUAUCUAGUUUUGUACAGUAGUGGAGAUAAGUUUACAGUAUAAGGUGCUGCUCUUCGAAUACUCAAAGGGUGGAGCCAAAAUAAAGAUCAUACUCCUCUGUGUAACAUAGGUAAAUUGUUUCUUUGAUUUGAAAAGAACUAGGUUUGACUUGCAUGCCCAUGAAUGAGAUCUUUUUUAAAUUUGCCUUUUAAAUCAAAUUCCUUUUUUGUUAAAGUCAAUAAACCUUUCUAUGACCAAUCACUCUAAAAGUGAGUUUCAUCAUAGUUUAUUCAGAACUAUUUAGUGGACAGUGAUAUUAACAGGCAGGUAGUUUGUUUCACGUUAGCUUCUCAAGUGUACCAAGUGUAGGUGUAUGUAUUUGUCAGGGGUUUCUGGAAGUUUUAAUGUUCCGUUUGAUUCAUAUUCAGUAGGCCAUCAUACUUUGCUCUAUUGGGUUAUUUACCAUGCUAAGAGUAAGGCCUAGACUAUUAUAAAACUUUGACCUCCUCAAUUUUAUGAACCAAAAAGCAGACUAAGUUAACUCGUACACAAAGGGGGGAAGAAUGGUGCAAAAGUGAUAGUUAAGGAUGUUUCCGUUUUUUUUUUUUAUCCAAUUGGAAUAUUGAUUUGUGAGAAUUGAUUGUUUCCGUUUUUUGGUUGGUCCUGAUUUAUUUUUAUUUUUUUUAAGAAGAAAAAAAAAUAUUUUGUCUGAUCUGCACAUUCAUCCUAAUGGCAAUAUCAAGUGACAUUGUGUGACGUUAUGUACACACUUUCAACAUAGCUGUGUAUGUGUCUAUUCAAGUGCAAUGUGUGUUGCUACUCCAGUGUAUGGGCAGUUGACUAGUUGUACACCUGGACAUUUUGAAAGAGGGAAAUCUAGUCAUAAAGCAGUAAACGCAUAAAUAAAUGUCAUAGCACAGGUAGUCAGGGUCAUGUAGACUUCAGCAGUUUGAUUUGAAGCCCUCAAUUGUUUUUCUUUUUUGAUUUGAUUUAGUUUUUUAGCUUUUUUUUCUGCGGGGGAGUUUUGUCAACAGAAUCCUUGUGUGUUUUAGAUCAGAGUAUGUUGUGUUGUCUUUUUGUCUUGGGUUUUUUCUUCUGUACGAAGCAUAAAACACCAGUGGCAUGUCAAUAACUUCUUAUGAGCAGAAUGUAUACCGUUACAACACCCUCGCACCCUCAAUAUUGUUUACAAGACAUCAAGUGUGUUUCGGUUUCGUCUCUCUCACCUUAACGGUUUGAGCCCUGCCUUGAUUUCUUUAUUUCAUCAUUUAUUGAACCACAAAGGCUUGAAAUUGUGAUGGCUAAUUAGUGUCAAAUCUAACCUCGGUAUUCAAAGCUUGCAGCAAACAUACAGAGCAAUAGUUUUAACCAUUCAAAUUAUUUUUCAUGAGAAUUUGUUUAUACAUUUGGUUAAGAAAGACAACAUCCCCUGUGAUUUUUGUCCAGACACCGGUGUCUCGUACACGCGUCCAAAUAUUAUUUCCAAGACACACCAGUGAAGAAUAAUUUAUAUUAGGAAAUGUAACAAACACCGGUCUCAUUCCCAUCUCCCCCCUAAAGUGAACCACUUGGCCAUGCCCUAGAUUACCCUGUGACCUCAUCAGUCUGCAACAACUUACCUCUACUGUUCAUUUAAUAUUUGUUUAUUUUAACUGGACAUACUGUUAUUUUACAUAAUAGAAUCACAAUUUCAAGCCUUUUUCUAGUUUUUCUUUAUUGAACAAGACAGUAGCUGAUUCUUUAGAAUGGGAAAUGACUAAUAAAGCAUGGAGAACUACUCUUUAAAUGGUGACAAAUAACCUAUUUAUUAUCUUUCUGACACCUGUGGUAUGUUAAAGUUAAAGGUCUCCGCUGUGUAAAUUUUCCUCCUGUAAUGCGUUGGAGACAUUGUACAUAGUUGUAAAUAAAUAUCCCAGGACGUUUUGCACCCUCCUCUUUGUACUAGUCUAAACUUGCGUAGAAUGUGGGGUUCUAACAGCAACGAGACAGUGCGCUCGCUGCAGGUGAUGUAACAAUGUAACUUUUUUUAUUUGUACAAUGUAGUUGAAUUGUGUACAUAUUGUUGGAGCAGCUAUGGGGGAAGGGGUUUGUUGAUGCUAUCGUCAGUGCUGUAAAAGAUCCAGUACUUUCACCUCUAGCUGUGUUGAUUUCCUGCAAAAACAAAGGCGAGAAAAUAACAAAAAUACUAAACUGUUAAGAAAAAUUCUAAAUUGUUAUUUUCUACAGUUGCAUGUACAGAGAGCGCGAGAACUGCUGUUGUUCCUCAGAGAUUAUGUUCGUAAAUAAAAUUUUGAAAUAUUUCCUCUU
rnacentral:lncRNA from 1 species